rnacentral:tRNA from 1 species
GGAGCGGUGCGCCGAAUUGGUAUGGCAGCGGAUUGCUAAUCCGUAGAGGCCGCAGGGUCUCCUGGAGGUUCGAGUCCUCCUCGCUCCG